UCAGUUGCACGCUGAGAGAGAAAAGGCCCUGCAAAGUAAUGGAUCCCUGUGCUGGAAGAUGUCGACAACUCAAGGUAAGAAAGCUGAGCCCAAGAGAUGAUAAGUUAUGAGUCUGCCCGGUUUCACUGUCUACAGUUUGCUGCCUUGCUUAGAGAUGGCCUGUCUCCUUGACCAUGUAUGAAUCUUUCUCUAGUGCAGAUAUCAGGAAUCUGAAUUUCCGGGGCAUAACGUGUGCACAGAUGCAGCUUCAACAGAUUCAUCAUAUCAUCCCCUUCAGAGCUGCUGUGACAGUUUACACCAGAUUAACUCUCAGUUUCCAGAAAAAGAGGAAACUCUGGCCUAGAAACUGGAAGCGCCAGAAUCAGUCCCAGUUUCCCAGUUCACAGUCUCACCCACUUCCCUCCACAUACUCUCCAUAACGAGACUACAUUCCAGUCCUACACUAAGGUUUCACAAAUGCUGGAGUUGAUGGGGCAAUGGUUAACAUUCAUUAAGUGAGAGCCAAAGGCCAAGCAGUGCUAAUCUUCCAUUGAAUGGGCCCUGCAGCUACUGGCAGUGGGUUUUAAUUGGGUUUUCUAUUAAAGCAAUUUUCUCCUCAGUGAUUUAUCAUAAAGAAAUGACACAAUUAAGUCUCAUUUGGAAACACUAAUGAAUUAUUUAGCAUGGACCAGGCAAAAAGAAAACAUGACCUCCAUUAGCCUCAUCUGAGGUGAAGGAAGAAAAUCCUGAAGAAACGGACUAAUAAGAAUGUAGGAAAUGGGAGCAUGAAGAGUUACAUAUCAAAACAGCUUUCUACAUCAUCUCCCUCAUUCUAUUCAACCUCCCAUCCCAAUUUAUUAAAUAACAAUUCACAAGACAAAUCUUUGUAAAAUUGUAUCUUGAUCUAUUUUGUGCCUGUUUUUCACUAACCCAGCUAAUAAGGAUGGUCCCUUAGUCUGUUAUUCAAUCCUCAUCUUCUCUGGUUCCUCCCUUUCUGGCUUUUAUCUUUAUUCUCCCUCAGAAACUGGAUGUGGCUAAAUCCCUAAGCUCACAAAUAUCUUCUUAAAGAUCCUCUCCUCACUCAUCCUGAGCACCCCAUUAUCUCUGCACAGAUGGAGACUUAGAAGGAAAACUAGGCUUGGUUUGUCCUCACAACAACAACAGCCAAGAUAAUGUCCAGAUCUAAAAUUGCAGCACAUUCUUGAUAGAUUUUAGCUAAGCUCAGCAGUAGCUUCCAUCAUAAACAAAUUUUACUUCUGCCUGUGUGAUGAAGAUAAAAAUGUCACAAUUCACAGCAGCCAUUUCUGACUCUAAUAGUAUGAAGGGAUGUUUCUCCAUACACUCAGCUUUCUGAAGUCUGCUGCUAAACUGGCUCUCCAAAUAAUGUGUGUGUGUGCAUGCACACAUGUGUAUCUGCACAAACACACACACACAUCAACUAAUUUGCAGCAUUUGCCAAUUUCUGUGGUGUAAAUACUCCCACUACGACUAACCUCAAACUCCAGUGGGCCGAAGAUUCCUGAAUAUCUAACAACCAAUUCUUCAGAGCCAGCACCAGCAGAUUCCAGUCUUAUAGAAGACUCCAGACUCUUAUUGAAGACCCUGAUUGGAUUCUUUGCAUAUGGACUGCAUAUGGAAAGUAAGCCCCAAAGGCAGAAAAACAAACAGCAACAGAACUGUCUACGUGUUAACUGAAAUUGGCUGUGAGCUCGAGGAACUAAAGCAGCCAAUAGAAGAGUUUGGGGAGGGGAGAACAGCAAUGAGAAAUUCCUGUAACAGUCUCCUCUAAGGACUUUUAAAAUCGGGGUAUUUUAAUUUGAUUUAAAUGAUUUGCAAUGUUGUAAUAUAAAUUCCCCCUGUAAAUUGGAGCCUUCAGGGAAAGUCAGGCCCCUCUCAACCCUGUGCAGAUAAGUAUUCUUGAGAGUAAGAACAUAUCAGGUGGUUUCUAGCAUGGAAUAAUGUAAUAAGGAAAAGAGCAACACACACCCAGUGCUGAGGCUGAGAUAAUCCCACUACACUGAACUUACUCAGUAGAAGCAGAGAAACAGAGCUAAUGAAGGAAAACAGCACAUCUCACCACCACAUUUACCUAAAAGAGUUGCACAGAGACUUUUAGGUAAAUGUCCCUCACUGCCAGAGGAAUAAAGGUUCAAGUGAAUUCCAUUUGACUCUCUCAAGCCAGGGUGAUCUCAGCAGAAUCUGCAUUACAGAGUCAAAGUAUAUUACUUUCUUCCAUGUUCUAUCUCUAUGGUGACAUGUCUUACACACCAAAAAUAACGAGGCAGACUGGAAGAGUCAAAACUCCCAUUGUCAGCCAGACAUAAACCUAGCAGAGAAUAAAUUUGGAUGUGAGCAAAGCAUUUAGUUAACAGGUCAGCGGGCAUAGUCACGCUAGAUCUGGAAUCUAGGAGGCAGGCACUAGUGAGCGAGGAAUAGGGGAUAAACACUUUCCAAAUGGCCACGUUAAGGUGCUUUGUCCAGAAAGUCAUUACAGUCAAGUUGGACAAAAGUUCAGUGAGCCAAAGACAGAUAAGCUGCACUUCCAUAACCAGGGGUUCAGCAGAAGCAGGAGAAAGAAAGAGAGAGGCAGUAAAUCCAACAGAUAAUCCAACAGCCAGAAGGGCAGCUUUCUCCAGAUGGCACUUGGGACCUUGAUUGCUGAUGAUAAAGACAGCAGUGGAAUGCUCUCUGCCCUGGUGUGGAGCCCCCACCCAUGUGGGUGAGCAAAUGUCAGCCUGUGGCUGCCAGCUGCUAGGAAGAGGAGACCCACUGCCCAUGGCUGCAGCUGACAGCCUCCUCAGGUCUCUCAUCUCUAGUCAGGUAGGUUUCAACACUGUAGGCUACCAACUUUCUUGAUUAAACUAUAGGUGGAUAACAAGUAGUCAUCUUUUGUCAUUUUUUUCCAUUCUGUGGGACACCAGCUCUCCAGGAGAAGCCCCUGCCAGUUGAAUGGGUUGAAUUCAUCCCCAUGUAAUGAGUUCUAACUGUGUGACUACCUUUCAGCUUUGGAAACCAUAGAGGAAAACACAGUACAACAACUCUGAUUGAAGGCACAGUAAUAUUUUAAUAGACAAUUUGAUGAUCAGCAAAAUAAAAAUUAGGCAGCAUUAGCAGACACAAAUGUCCAAGGAGCCCAGUAACAGCAGCCAUAUUAUAGACCAGGAAUAUCAAAGAAUACCACCUAUGACUCUAUAGAGUCUUAUUUGCCCCCUUUGCACAGAGAAGAAUGAACUCAUGGGCAAAAGACUUACGAGAGAACUGAUG
rnacentral:lncRNA from 10 species